rnacentral:lncRNA from 1 species
AGUUUUAGUAGACAAAAAUACCCUUAUAUAUAUAUCAUGGAUUCUAAGUUUUAAGGUUCAGGGUAUUUUAAUAAUUUCUAUUCUCAAAACUAAAAAAAAAAAAAAAGAAACCCCCUAAACCCUUACUCACCUCUCUCAUUCCUCUCAACCCUAACCUUAAUCCACCCUUCCUCACUUAUUUAAUUUGUUUCUCUCUCAUCUCCAUACUCUCCUUCACUCACACACAACAACCCGCGCGAAACUGUAAUUUGCUGUUCUUGCUUUGUUCAUUCAUUUGUUUUUCACUUUAAUAACAAAAUAACUGAUGAUGUUGAUGUGGAUUUUUGAUUGGAGGGUUGUGUUAUAUAUUUUUCCUUCUUAU